GGGCAUUCAGAAGGCUUGCUCUCUGGGCUACACGCUGAGAACCGCGUUUCUCUCCCCUGCCCAGGGGAAAGUCCCCGGACUCGUGGCAGAAAGUGCUCUGGGUUAAUCCAGCGUCGACCUGCACUGCACUACCAAUCAGCCAAGACGUUCAUGUGAACAGAGCUGCGUGUUAGCAUGUCGACUUUGUCAGCUGUAUAGGUAUGCAAGUAACGCGUUAACUUACGCCGAAACAGAACGGGGCUCAUUCUCCGAAUGCA
rnacentral:RNase_MRP_RNA from 1 species